UACGUAGGGACCAAGCGUUGUUCGGAUUUACUGGGCGUAAAGGGCGCGUAGGCGGCGUGUUAAGUCACUUGUGAAAUCUCUAAGCUUAACUUAGAACGGUCAAGUGAUACUGAUGUGCUAGAGAGCAGAAGGGGCAACCGGAAUUCUUGGUGUAGCGGUGAAAUGCGUAGAUAUCAAGAGGAACACCUGAGGUGAAGACGGGUUGCUGGGCUGACACUGACGCUGAGGCGCGAAAGCUAGGGUAGCAAACGGG
rnacentral:rRNA from 1 species